rnacentral:rRNA from 1 species
GGAGGGUGCUAGCGUUGUUCGGAAUUAUUGGGCGUAAAGAGCGUGUAGGCGGCCUCGUAAGUCAGAUGUGAAAGCCCUUGGCUUAACCAAGGAAGUGCAUUUGAAACUGCCUGGCUUGAGUACGGGAGAGGGAAGUGGAAUUCCGAGUGUAGGGGUGAAAUCCGUAGAUAUUCGGAGGAACACCAGUGGCGAAGGCGGCUUCCUGGACCGAUACUGACGCUGAGACGCGAAAGCGUGGGGAGCAAACAGGAUUAGAUACCCUGGUAGUCCACGCCGUAAACGAUGGGCACUAGGUGUCGCGGGUAUUGACCCCUGCGGUGCCGUAGCUAACGCAUUAAGUGCCCCGCCUGGGGAGUACGGCCGCAAGGCUA